AGUGAACGCUGGCGGUAGGCCUAACACAUGCAAGUCGAACGGCAGCACAGUAAGAGCUUGCUCUUACGGGUGGCGAGUGGCGGACGGGUGAGGAAUACAUCGGAAUCUACUUUUUCGUGGGGGAUAACGUAGGGAAACUUACGCUAAUACCGCAUACGACCUACGGGUGAAAGCAGGGGAUCCUCGGACCUUGCGCGAUUGAAUGAGCCGAUGUCGGAUUAGCUAGUUGGCGGGGUAAAGGCCCACCAAGGCGACGAUCCGUAGCUGGUCUGAGAGGAUGAUCAGCCACACUGGAACUGAGACACGGUCCAGACUCCUACGGGAGGCAGCAGUGGGGAAUAUUGGACAAUGGGCGCAAGCCUGAUCCAGCCAUACCGCGUGGGUGAAGAAGGCCUUCGGGUUGUAAAGCCCUUUCGUUGGGAAAGAAAAGCAGCAGGUUAAUACCCCGCUGUUCUGACGGUACCCAAAGAAUAAGCACCGGCUAACUUCGUG
rnacentral:rRNA from 1 species